GCCCCGCGACCGCCAGCUGGACCAGAUGAUUACUCUCGCAGUCCCCUGUACACUGUUCAGAUGGCCCAAUACGAGGAGGUGAACAUGUCCGGCUUUGAGGAAUUCAACCAGGCUGUCGAGGAGCACAAUGGGAAGACCAUUUUUGCCUACUUUACUGGUUCUAAGGACGCCGAAGGGAAAAGCUGGUGUCCCGACUGCGUGUAGGCUGAACCAGUCGUUCGAGAGGGGCUGAAGCAUAUUAGUGAAAGAUGUGUGUUCAUCUAUUGUCAAGUAGGAGAAAAACCAUAUUGGAAAGAUCCAAACAAUGACUUUAGGAAAAAACUGAAAGUAACUGCAGUGCCUACACUACUUAAAUAUGGAACACCUCAAAAACUGGUAGAAUCUGAGUGUUUUCAAGCCAGCCUCGUGGAGAUGUUGUUCUCUGAAGAUUAAGAUUUAAUGAUGGCAAUCAUGUUUUGAUUUGUGCUAGUAUUAAAAUGCACACUUCCUUUGAAUUCAUGUUAGCUAUAAAUAUGU